UACGGAGGGUGCGAGCGUUGUCCGGAAUCACUGGGCGUAAAGGGCGCGUAGGCGGCCUGAUAAGUAGGGGGUGAAAUCCUGCGGCUUAACCGCAGGGCUGCCUUCUAAACUGUCGGGCUAGAGCACGGUAGAGGCAGAUGGAAUUCCCGGUGUAGCGGUGAAAUGCGCAGAUAUCAGGAGGAACACCGGUGGCGAAGGCGGAUCUCUGGGCCGAUACUGACGCUGAGGAGCGAAAGCGUGGGGAGCGAACAGG
rnacentral:rRNA from 1 species